ACUAUCCACAAUAAGGGAACAUGUUUUGUAUAAGAUUUUACAUCUAGUUUGGAAGAUGUUAUCUUUUUGUGUGUGAUCUUGUGAACUAGGUUGAUUAUGGAAAACCCUUCUUAUCAUAAGAAGUUCUCCCUCACAAGGAUGGGCAUCCUCACUUGGGCUUUCUUCUUCUUUCUUUGCACCACUUCUCUCGCUCUCGCUCUCACUUUCCUCAUCUUGGCUACUAUAUAAAUCAAUACCCCUUAAGAUCAUGGUCUUUUUGGUGGGGCAUUGUGAUGCAAUGUGACCUCUACCAAGACACUUGAAACACUUAAUUCCACUAGUGCGAGUGUGAGAGGAUGUUCCCACCCUUGGCCUCUCUUUUUCUUUCUCUUCUCUCUCUCCCUCCCUAGAUUCCUAAAGGGUUCUUCUUCUACCACUUGCUUACCCUCCCUUUUUUAGUAUUUCUUAACACUAGAGUUAGAGUGGAAAGCUUUCAAACCUUUUCUUAAGAGUUGUUGCUCUACCUUAAUGCAAAUUUGUACCAAGUCAUUUAAGUCUUGGUAGAGCAACAAUUCCACUCUAUCCCUAAUCUCAAGAUUAAGACCACUUAGAAACCUAGAGAUGGUGGUUUCUUCUUCCUCCUUAAUUCCCGUCCUCAACAUGUACAGCUCCAUCUUUUGCCU
rnacentral:lncRNA from 1 species